ACUCCGGUACAAGUCAUAACCAUAUCCAGAUCUGGUUUGUAUAGGUGACUGAGAUAACCUCAGCCUCAUCUCAGGAAGUGGCCACUUUUGGAGAGUCCGACUAUCACGGUAGGCACAGAACUCUGCCAUGUCACUAGCUGAAUGACCUCGGAUGUCACUUCAACUCUGAGCCUUAGAACUUGUCAACUGCAAAGUGGGGCACUUCACCGAGCUACAUCAUUGAGCUACUUCACUGAGCUACUUCAUUGAAUUGGGAAAAUUAAAGGAGCAAAUAUGGGAGAAGGAUUUGGCCCAUAGUAAACACUAUGACUGUCCGUCUUCUGCCAUCUUUCAGUAGACCCAGUGGAAUUAUAUGAAGGUUGAUAGGCACUUAAACCAAGAAUAUAUGAACAUCUAUUCUGUGCAAGAUGUGUGCAUUGAACUCAGUCCAGGACUGAAGGGGACAGGAGGAAGAUCUUUAAUAAAUGAAAUAAAUGUGACUGUAUGUCCUACAUCCCAUUCCUGUUGUCUUCCAUGUC
rnacentral:lncRNA from 10 species